UACGUAGGCAGCGAGCGUUGUUCGGAGUUACUGGGCGUAAAGCGUGCGUAGCGGUGCCAUAAGUCUGUUGUGAAAUCUCCCGGCUUAACUGGGAGGGUGCGGUGGAAACUGUGGUGCUGGAGUGUGGGAGAGGUAGGCGGAAUCCUGGUGUAGCGGUGAAAUGCGUAGAUAAUCAGGAGGAACACCUGUGGUGUAGACGGCUUACUGGACCUGACUGACGCUGAGGCACGAAAGCGUGGGGAGCAAACAGG
rnacentral:rRNA from 1 species